rnacentral:lncRNA from 1 species
AAGUUCCCUCACAUGAUCUGUGGUAAUACAACUAACAACAACAUUAUUUUCUCUGUAUCUUUAUAUUGAAUUUGCCAUCAUUUUUUUUUUUUUUUUUUUUUGAGACAGAGUCUCGCUUUGUCGCCAGGUGCCAAGUUAGAGUGCAGUGGCGUGAUCUCGGCUCACUACAACCUCUGCCUCCCGGAUUCAAGCAAUUCUCCUGCCUCAGCCUCCCGCGUAGCUGGGACUGCAGGUGUAUCAUGUUAAGACUGCUUCAUCAAUUUACCACUUGGCAACUCUUACAACAACAGGAAAAAACAACAACAACCAGAAAGUGCAAGAAGAACUAGUGCACUAGUACUGGUGUUACCCAACAAAAGCCAUGUUACUACGAGGCCGUCUUUAUGAACUUUCCCACCAGAGCACCCUGGCCUCCCUUGUAUGUUUCCAGCUUCUGGUAAGAACUACUCAAGUCUCCUUUCAGUGGCACCUUUAGGAUUUCUGUAUGGGUGAGACUCAAGGGCAGGCAUGAGGUUUGAAAAUUGGCUGUUUUUUUUUUUUUUUUUUUU